rnacentral:rRNA from 1 species
AUUGAACGCUGGCGGCAGGCUUAACACAUGCAAGUCGAGCGGGGUGAUGGUGCUUGCACUAUCACUUAGCGGCGGACGGGUGAGUAAUGCUUAGGAAUCUGCCUAUUAGUGGGGGACAACAUCUCGAAAGGGAUGCUAAUACCGCAUACGUCCUACGGGAGAAAGCAGGGGAUCACUUGUGACCUUGCGCUAAUAGAUGAGCCAAAGGCGGAUUAGCUAGGUGGUGGGGUAAAGGCCUACCAAGGCGACGAUCUGUAGCGGGUCUGAGAGGAUGAUCCGCCACACUGGGACUGAGACACGGCCCAGACUCCUACGGGAGGCAGCAGUGGGGAAUAUUGGACAAUGGGGGGAACCCUGAUCCAGCCAUGCCGCGUGUGUGAAGAAGGCCUUAUGGUUGUAAAGCACUUUAAGCGAGGAGGAGGCUCUUUUGGUUAAUACCCAAGAUGAGUGGACGUUACUCGCAGAAUAAGCACCGGCUAACUCUGUGCCAGCAGCCGCAGUAA